GAGCUGAGAUAACCCCUGCACUCCAGCCUGGGCAACAGAGCGAGACUCCGUCUCAAAAACAAAACAAAACAAAGAGUAUAAUUGGAAUGUUUGUAACACAAAGGUAAUGCUUGAAGGAAUGGAUACCCCAUUUUUCAUGAUGUGAUUAUUAUGCAUUGCAUGCCUGGAUCAAAAUAUCUCACAUAACCCAUAAAUAUAUAUACCUACUAUGUACCCACAAAAAUUAAAAUAAAAUUUUUUUUUAAAGAUUGUGUAUUAAUGAUAACAGCUAGCACUCUGUUUUGUAUGUGUUUCAUCUUUUUCACUUGGCAUGUGAGAAAUGAUGGUUGUUUUUCCGUAACCACUGUUAAUAAACUCUCAGUUUAAAACAACUGUUCAGACUCCAAAUAAAGAACCGCAAACUCCCAAGAUUAAAGUGAUCAUGCACAGCCAUAUGUUACUUGAAUUCUCUUUUACAGCAUCUCCACCAAGUGGCUAAGUGGCUUAUUCCUGCCAGGAAUUCCUGACCACGCCCUGGGAAUGAUCUAUUCUGUCUGACUUAGAAAGCUCUUCCUUAUAAUAAGAUUUAAUCUAUUUCUCUAGAGCUGCCAUACAUUAGUCCUUUUUUAAACCUUCUUAUCAGAACUUCUUAUCAAAUCAGCCAAAACCUUUACUCAAGAAGAUGACUCGAUUGCAGUUUUCUGGAAGUUCACAGGAUGCCCUCACUAUCUGAUGUAUCUUCUAAAUGAAAAAUAUAUGGUACAUCUGGUUCCUGUGAUUCACUUGCUCCUUUGAAGCUAGAAAGAAAAAGAACAUUUGGGCCGAUCACAGUGGCUCAUGCCUUGGGAGGCCAAGGCGGGCUGAUUGCCUGAGCUCAGGAGUUCGAGACCAGCCUGGGCAACACCGUGAAAUCCUAUCUCUACUAAAAAAUUGGCCAAGCGUGGCGGCGUGCGCCUGUAGUCCCAGCUACUCAGGAGG
rnacentral:lncRNA from 10 species